CGCGAAGAGGAUGAUCCAGGACCGCUGUAGGUAGAUGCCCAGCAUGUGGUACUGCUUCGCGCCGUAGGAUUGCCCACAUAGCGUCUCCAGUGCGCUCGCCAUCCCCAGCUGCAUUGCGGUUCGUUCGUCAUAGCGGUGGUUUUUCUUUCUCUCCGUUAGCAAUGAUGCCAGGGUGAUGUACUGCACGCUCUACACACCAGAGGAGAUAUUUCAUCUUGGCUACGUAGGAAAAGGAAGUAGUGUUUGAGGCGGCAAGAAAGGAAAUCAUCAGGUCACGCAAGUAAAGCCAUUGGAGACGAGGACGCCCUCCAUGCCUUUUUCCACCAUGACUUUGGCGAUGACCUGAUGACGAUGAUGAGGACGACGGCACGGUGGCCACGGCCGGGUUAGUUGGUGCCAAAUUCGGGUUGAAUUUACACUGCGGUCCCGAAAUACGGGUGGAGAUCUUCAAGUCGUCGAACCGUGGACCAGAGCCACAGGACAGUUCGUUCGGGUUAUAAGGUUAUUCACGCCU